rnacentral:sRNA from 10 species
UCAAAGAAAAGGGGGCAAAUAAUAGAAACAACCAUUGAGGAAGAAAAUUCAAGAGAAAUUCAUCGGUUACCGAAAAAUGACGCGAUCUAAGGUAUAGGUGGUGAACCCUCUGGUAAGGGUAAGGAUAUCGUAUCCGAGGACCAAGAGUAGGAAUACUCCCGUUAUUGGGAGGCGGAGAAUUGAUGCUAGAGCCUUGCGA